rnacentral:rRNA from 1 species
GUGAACGCUGGCGGUAGGCCUAACACAUGCAAGUCGAACGGCAGCACAGUAAGAGCUUGCUCUUACGGGUGGCGAGUGGCGGACGGGUGAGGAAUACAUCGGAAUCUACUUUUUCGUCGGGGAUAACGUAGGGAAACUUACGCUAAUACCGCAUACGACCUACGGGUGAAAGCAGGGGAUCUUCGGACCUUGCGCGAUUGAAUGAGCCGAUGUCGGAUUAGCUAGUUGGCGGGGUAAAGGCCCACCAAGGCGACGAUCCGUAGCUGGUCUGAGAGGAUGAUCAGCCACACUGGAACUGAGACACGGUCCAGACUCCUACGGGAGGCAGCAGUGGGGAAUAUUGGACAAUGGGCGCAAGCCUGAUCCAGCCAUACCGCGUGGGUGAAGAAGGCCUUCGGGUUGUAAAGCCCUUUUGUUGGGAAAGAAAAGCAGCAGGUUAAUACCCCGCUGUUCUGACGGUACCCAAAGAAUAAGCACCGGCUAACUUCGU